AACGCGAAGAACCUUACCUGGGCUCGAACGGCUGGUCAACGGGGGUGGAAACGCCUCUACUCCGCAAGGAGGUCCAGUCGAGGUGCUGCAUGGCUGUCGUCAGCUCGUGUCGUGAGAUGUUGGGUUAAGUCCCGCAACGAGCGCAACCCUUGUCCUGUGUUGCCAUUCCGCAAGGAGGAACUCGCAGGAGACCGCCAGCGAUAAGCUGGAGGAAGGUGGGGAUGACGUCAAGUCCUCAUGGCCUUUAUGUCCAGGGCUACACACGUGCUACAAUGGCCGGUACAAAGCGCUGCUAAGCCGCGAGGUGGAGCCAAUCGCAAAAAACCGGUCUCAGUUCGGAUUGCAGGCUGCAACUCGCCUGCAUGAAGCUGGAAUCGCUAGUAAUGGCGUAUCAGAACGAUGCCGUGAAUACGUUCCCGGGCCUUGUACACACCGGUAUCUC
rnacentral:rRNA from 1 species